rnacentral:rRNA from 1 species
GAAAGAUGGCUUUGGCUAUCACUCUGGGAUGGACCUGCGGUGCAUUAGCUAGUUGGUAAGGUAACGGCUUACCAAGGCGAUGAUGCAUAGCCGAGUUGAGAGACUGAUCGGCCACAAUGGAACUGAGACACGGUCCAUACUCCUACGGGAGGCAGCAGUAGGGAAUCUUCCACAAUGGGCGCAAGCCUGAUGGAGCAACACCGCGUGAGUGAAGAAGGGUUUCGGCUCGUAAAGCUCUGUUGUUGGAGAAGAACGUGCGUGAGAGUAACUGUUCAUGCAGUGACGGUAUCCAACCAGAAAGUCACGGCUAACUACGUGCCAGCAGCCGCGGUAAUACGUAGGUGGCAAGCGUUAUCCGGAUUUAUUGGGCGUAAAGCGAGCGCAGGCGGUUGCUUAGGUCUGGUGUGAAAGCCUUCGGCUUAACCGAAGAAGUGCAUCGGAAACCGGGCGACUUGAGUGCAGAAGAGGACAGUGGAACUCCAUGUGUAGCGGUGGAAUGCGUAGAUAUAUGGAAGAACACCAGUGGCGAAGGCGGCUGUCUGGUCUGCAACUGACGCUGAGGCUCGAAAGCAUGGGUAGCGAACAGGAUUAGAUACCCUGGUAGUCCAUGCCGUAAACGAUGAGUGCUAGGUGUUGGAGGGUUUCCGCCCUUCA